GUUGUGAUAGAUGCAUGUUUACAAGGUUUGGAAGAUUGACGAGUAUGUUUCAUCGUGACAGGUUUUGUCAUGCUAUCAUGCUAUCUUGAAUGCUGACUGCUGGAUUGGUUUCUCUCACAUAUCUUAGGACAUGUUUGGUUUUGGUUGAAGGAUGGGUAGGUAGAUGGCAUAGUUAUGUGAUGGAUAGACUUGCAUCAUGAGUUUGGCAUGUGGUUGUGCAUUAUUGGCUGUUGUAAAGAUUGAAGUCAUGGUGAUGGUGAAUUCAUGAUGCUUGGUAUCACUUUGUUGUUGUAGUGAUUCCGGG